rnacentral:rRNA from 1 species
GACGAACGCUGGCGGCGUGCUUAACACAUGCAAGUCGAACGAAGAGCGAUGGAAGCUUGCUUCCAUCAAUCUUAGUGGCGAACGGGUGAGUAACGCGUAAUCAACCUGCCCUUCAGAGGGGGACAACAGUUGGAAACGACUGCUAAUACCGCAUACGAUCUAACCUUGGCAUCGAGGAUGGAUGAAAGGUGGCCUCUAUUUAUAAGCUAUCACUGAAGGAGGGGAUUGCGUCUGAUUAGCUAGUUGGAGGGGUAACGGCCCACCAAGGCGAUGAUCAGUAGCCGGUCUGAGAGGAUGAACGGCCACAUUGGGACUGAGACACGGCCCAGACUCCUACGGGAGGCAGCAGUGGGGAAUCUUCCGCAAUGGACGAAAGUCUGACGGAGCAACGCCGCGUGAGUGAUGACGGCCUUCGGGUUGUAAAGCUCUGUUAAUCGGGACGAAAGGCCUUCUUGCGAAUAGUAGAAGGAUGACGGACCCGAAUA